UCUUGCCCUCCUGGGACCAGAGAGGCCAGUUGGGGCAUGUUCUUUUCAUAGUGAAGGCAGACCACAGGCUGGCAAAUGGAAAUGCAUGAUGCUUCCUAAGGCCUAGGCUCAGACCUGGCAACUGUCAAUUCCACUUUCCUCAUCUUAUAAAAUUCUGGUUCUCAAUGACACCAGCAUCAUUACUGAUUUGCUUUCUACUCACACACAAAUAGCCUCCAAAUAAGAAUGCCAACACUAUCACCAAAAAGGAAAAAUUAUCUUCGUUUCCCCAAGGCCUGCAGCUUUCAUAAGAAGGCAGGAGUUUUUGGAGGAGAGCGUCGUGUUCGUCUGUCUGUAGACCCUGAGACACUGAUUUACAGCAAGACUCACGGUGACAAGAAUAUAAACAUCUCUUCAAUUCAUUUGAUGAGGAAGAAAAGCUUUGAUAAAGAAACUUGACAAGAACUUUACAAGGAAGAAAAAUUACCAACAAUUUCUCCUAUCAAUGUAGAUGAAAAAUUCUAAACAAAAUGUGAGCAAAUUGAAUUCCAUUUUAUGUAAAUAGGAUAAUACAUUAUGAUGAAAUCAAGUUUAUUUAACAAUGCAAGACUGGUUUGCUAUUCAAAAAUCAAUGAAAUAUGAAUACAUAUGUAGAGCAACUAAAUGUUAAGAAACUCCGGUUUCCAGUCCAACAUGUGAAGAGCUUGGAAAUCUUCAUAUUAAAAAAAAAACUGAACAAAUUGAAAAUCAGCAAUUCUUACAUCCGUCAGAGAAUUGAGGUCCCAGGGCAAUCUGCUGCCUUGAAAAUGAAAGAAACAGACAGACAGAUACAGAGAAUUUCAGCUUAAAAGGAGCAGACGGCCUCAGCUGGACGAGUUCGAGUUUAAAACUCCAGGAGGGGCCAGUCUUGGAGACGCCACACAGCUGGGAGUUUCACCUCCAGAAGCCCUACUGUUACUCAAAAGGGGUCCCAAGCCAAACCCCAAGAGAGGGUUCUUAGAUCUUGCACAAGAAAGAAUUCAAGGCAAGUCCAUAGAGUAAAGUGAAAACAAGUUUGUUAGAAAAGUAAAGAAACAAAAGAAUGGCUACUCCAUAGGCAGAGCAGACCCAAAGGCUGCUGGUUGCCCAUUUUUAUGGUUAUUUAUUAAUUAUAUGCUAAACAGG
rnacentral:lncRNA from 1 species